rnacentral:snRNA from 1 species
GUGCUCACUUCAGCAACAUAUAUACUACAAUUGGAACAAUGCAGAAAAGAGUAGUAUGGCCCCUACACAACAUUCUGUAUUAAAAAAAAGAAGGUAUACUAGUUGAU